rnacentral:rRNA from 1 species
GGGUUGUGAGGUUAAGCGACUAAGCGUACACGGUGGAUGCCCUGGCAGUCAGAGGCGAUGAAGGACGUGCUAAUCUGCGAUAAGCGUCGGUAAGGUGAUAUGAACCGUUAUAACCGGCGAUUUCCGAAUGGGGAAACCCAGUGUGWUUCGWCACACUAUCAUUAACUGAAUCCAUAGGUUAAUGAGGCGAACCGGGGGAACUGAAACAUCUAAGUACCCCGAGGAAAAGAAAUCAACCGAGAUUCCCCCAGUAGCGGCGAGCGAACGGGGAGCAGCCCAGAGCCUGAAUCAGUGUGUGUGUUAGUGGAAGCGUCUGGAAAGGCGYGCGAUACAGGGUGACAGCCCCGUACACAAAAAUGCACAURCUGUGAGCUCGAUGAGUAGGGCGGGACACGUGGUAUCCUGUCUGAAUAUGGGGGGACCAUCCUCCAAGGCUAAAUACUCCUGACUGACCGAUAGUGAACCAGUACCGUGAGGGAAAGGCGAAAAGAACCCCGGCGAGGGGAGUGAAAAAGAACCUGAAACCGUGUACGUACAAGCAGUGGGAGCACAGAGCAAUCUGUGUGACUGCGUACCUUUUGUAUAAUGGGUCAGCGACUUAUAUUCUGUAGCAAGGUUAACCGAAUAGGGGAGCCGAAGGGAAACCGAGUCUUAACUGGGCGUUAAGUUGCAGGGUAUAGACCCGAAACCCGGUGAUCUAGCCAUGGGCAGGUUGAAGGUUGGGUAACACUAACUGGAGGACCGAACCGACUAAUGUUGAAAAAUUAGCGGAUGACUUGUGGCUGGGGGUGAAAGGCCAAUCAAACCGGGAGAUAGCUGGUUCUCCCCGAAAGCUAUUUAGGUAGCGCCUCGUGAAUUCAUCUCCGGGGGUAGAGCACUGUUUCGGCAAGGGGGUCAUCCCGACUUACCAACCCGAUGCAAACUGCGAAUACCGGAGAAUGUUAUCACGGGAGACACACGGCGGGUGCUAACGUCCGUCGUGAAGAGGGAAACAACCCAGACCGCCAGCUAAGGUCCCAAAGUCAUGGUUAAGUGGGAAACGAUGUGGGAAGGCCCAGACAGCCAGGAUGUUGGCUUAGAAGCAGCCAUCAUUUAAAGAAAGCGUAAUAGCUCACUGGUCGAGUCGGCCUGCGCGGAAGAUGUAACGGGGCUAAACCAUGCACCGAAGCUGCGGCAGCGACRCUUAUGYGUUGUUGGGUAGGGGAGCGUUCUGUAAGCCUGYGAAGGUGURCUGUGAGGYAUGCUGGAGGUAUCAGAAGUGCGAAUGCUGACAUAAGUAACGAUAAAGCGGGUGAAAAGCCCGCUCGCCGGAAGACCAAGGGUUCCUGUCCAACGUUAAUCGGGGCAGGGUGAGUCGACCCCUAAGGCGAGGCCGAAAGGCGUAGUCGAUGGGAAACAGGUUAAUAUUCCUGUACUUGGUGUUACUGCGAAGGGGGGACGGAGAAGGCUAUGUUGGCCGGGCGACGGUUGUCCCGGUUUAAGCGUGUAGGCUGGUUUUCCAGGCAAAUCCGGAAAAUCAAGGCUGAGGCGUGAUGACGAGGCACUACGGUGCUGAAGCAACAAAUGCCCUGCUUCCAGGAAAAGCCUCUAAGCAUCAGGUAACAUCAAAUCGUACCCCAAACCGACACAGGUGGUCAGGUAGAGAAUACCAAGGCGCUUGAGAGAACUCGGGUGAAGGAACUAGGCAAAAUGGUGCCGUAACUUCGGGAGAAGGCACGCUGAUAUGUAGGUGAAGUCCCUCGCGGAUGGAGCUGAAAUCAGUCGAAGAUACCAGCUGGCUGCAACUGUUUAUUAAAAACACAGCACUGUGCAAACACGAAAGUGGACGUAUACGGUGUGACGCCUGCCCGGUGCCGGAAGGUUAAUUGAUGGGGUYAGCGCAAGCGAAGCUCUUGAUCGAAGCCCCGGUAAACGGCGGCCGUAACUAUAACGGUCCUAAGGUAGCGAAAUUCCUUGUCGGGUAAGUUCCGACCUGCACGAAUGGCGUAAUGAUGGCCAGGCUGUCUCCACCCGAGACUCAGUGAAAUUGAACUCGCUGUGAAGAUGCAGUGUACCCGCGGCAAGACGGAAAGACCCCGUGAACCUUUACUAUAGCUUGACACUGAACAUUGAGCCUUGAUGUGUAGGAUAGGUGGGAGGCUUKGAAGUGUGGACGCCAGUCUGCAUGGAGCCGACCUUGAAAUACCACCCUUUAAUGUUUGAUGUUCUAACGUUGACCCGUAAUCCGGGUUGCGGACAGUGUCUGGUGGGUAGUUUGACUGGGGCGGUCUCCUCCUAAAGAGUAACGGAGGAGCACGAAGGUUGGCUAAUCCUGGUCGGACAUCAGGAGGUUAGUGCAAUGGCAUAAGCCAGCUUGACUGCGAGCGUGACGGCGCGAGCAGGUGCGAAAGCAGGUCAUAGUGAUCCGGUGGUUCUGAAUGGAAGGGCCAUCGCUCAACGGAUAAAAGGUACUCCGGGGAUAACAGGCUGAUACCGCCCAAGAGUUCAUAUCGACGGCGGUGUUUGGCACCUCGAUGUCGGCUCAUCACAUCCUGGGGCUGAAGUAGGUCCCAAGGGUAUGGCUGUUCGCCAUUUAAAGUGGUACGCGAGCUGGGUUUAGAACGUCGUGAGACAGUUCGGUCCCUAUCUGCCGUGGGCGCUGGAGAACUGAGGGGGGCUGCUCCUAGUACGAGAGGACCGGAGUGGACGCAUCACUGGUGUUCGGGUUGUCAUGCCAAUGGCACUGCCCGGUAGCUAAAUGCGGAAGAGAUAAGUGCUGAAAGCAUCUAAGCACGAAACUUGCCCCGAGAUGAGUUCUCCCUGACUCCUUGAGAGUCCUGAAGGAACGUUGAAGACGACGACGUUGAUAGGCCGGGUGUGUAAGCGCAGCGAUGCGUUGAGCUAACCGGUACUAAUGAACCGUGAGGCUUAACCUUACAACGCCGAAGSUGUU